rnacentral:rRNA from 1 species
GAGUUUGAUCAUGGCUCAGAUUGAACGCUGGCGGCAUGCCUUACACAUGCAAGUCGAACGGCAGCACGGGAGCUUGCUCCUGGUGGCGAGUGGCGAACGGGUGAGUAAUGCAUCGGAACGUAUCCUGGAGUGGGGGAUAACGUAGCGAAAGUUACGCUAAUACCGCAUAUUCUGUGAGCAGGAAAGCGGGGGGACCUUCGGGCCUCGCGCUCUUGGAGCGGCCGAUGUCGGAUUAGCUAGUUGGUGAGGUAAAGGCUCACCAAGGCGACGAUCCGUAGCAGGUCUGAGAGGAUGAUCUGCCACACUGGAACUGAGACACGGUCCAGACUCCUACGGGAGGCAGCAGUGGGGAAUUUUGGACAAUGGGGGCAACCCUGAUCCAGCCAUGCCGCGUGAGUGAAGAAGGCCUGG